GACGAACGCUGGCGGCGUGCUUAACACAUGCAAGUCGAGCGGAAAGGCCCUGCUUUUGUGGGGUGCUCGAGUGGCGAACGGGUGAGUAACACGUGAGUAACCUGCCCUUGACUUUGGGAUAACUUCAGGAAACUGGGGCUAAUACCGGAUAGGAGCUCCUGCUGCAUGGUGGGGGUUGGAAAGUUUCGGCGGUUGGGGAUGGACUCGCGGCUUAUCAGCUUGUUGGUGGGGUAGUGGCUUACCAAGGUUUUGACGGGUAGCCGGCCUGAGAGGGUGACCGGCCACAUUGGGACUGAGAUACGGCCCAGACUCCUACGGGAGGCAGCAGUGGGGAAUAUUGCACAAUGGGCGGAAGCCUGAUGCAGCAACGCCGCGUGCGGGAUGACGGCCUUCGGGUUGUAAACCGCUUUCGCCUGUGACGAAGCGUGAGUGACGGUAAUGGGUAAAGAAGCACCGGCUAACUACGUG
rnacentral:rRNA from 1 species